GGGACAGGAAAAAAGGCUGAGUUUGGAGGGGAAUUGCUCACCGCUUUUGCAAAGUGUCUGUGGAAUUAGACUGUGAGUGAGAAUGUGUAUGUGUGUGUUUUUGUUUUCAUCUUUCCUUUUUUUUUUUUUCUUUUUCGUCCAUGACAGAAGGAGAAGGCUGAAGAGGGCAAUCUUUGAGUCAGGGGAGGAGUAUUUUUUUCAUAUAUAAAAGUAUAUACGUGUGUGUGUACGCUGAGAAAAUUAAUAUGUAUUUGCUUUAAGCCUCCCCUGCCUCAGCGAUUUCUUGCUGACGUGCACUGAAAUGCACAGAAUAUCCAGGUGAUGCAGAAACAGUGAAGGACAUGACUCCAGAGAAAACACACACACACACACACAUGCACACACACACUCAUAUAAAAUACCCUGAGGCUGUGUGUUUCUCCUCACUACAGCAGCCAUGCUCCUAUCAAGCCUGAUAUCUGUCCUGUUCACUAAAGCAUGUGACAGCUUUGCAUUCUUACAAGACAUGAUAAAUCUGACUUUACAAGGCGGAGAUCCACUUAUGGACUCUAAUCCCAGGGAUCCUUCAUGUUUGAGAGGUUCGUGUUUGCGCGCAGGAUACUGAUGCAGAAGCGACUAAAAUGUCAUGUCAUCACUUUACAUGUGAUGUCACAUGUGCAAAAUAAUCAGACUUAUUGCAUGACAUGUUUUUGGUGCAACGGGCAGAUCAUUACAGUUGCAUGUUGUAUGCAGGAUUACAAAGUAUUUGCUAGCUGAUUACACAGACACGCUCAGAGUGUAAUUCUGUGCAAACAAUUUAGUGAAGAUGUGCAGAAAAGUCUGAUUUUUGUCACCCAUGAACGGGACUUGAUCUUUAACUUUUGUUUACACAAAGUCUUCCUCCCUUGACUGAACAGCAAAAGCUUCAGGGAAACUAUUUAACUCUUCAUCCUUCAAUCUGCAGAGAGUGCAAGAGUAUACAAAAUUGCAAGCUGGCUAAUAUAUUUAGUUGUUUUUGAGACUGUGCUGUAAAAUAUAUGUGUGUGUGUGUGUAGGUUUGUGUGUGAUUCACGCAUACUUCCCUUAACCUGCCUUGCCAGCAGUGAGUCGGUUGUGGCUUCACUCUGUCUUGACUCCUCUCCCUCCAGGCUCCCAAAUGAUAGGCUGACCUUUCCACCUCGGCCAGGACUGCAGCGUCACUCUCAGCGUGAACUGAAAACUCAUCUCCUGGCUAAACACUUCAUAUUGCUCUCUGCUCAGCUCAGCUUCUGAACUCACCUCUGAUUUGGAUGCUGCAUGACAAAAAGGUCAGAAUGUGCAGUCUUGAGACACAUCCCGGUGUUUGUAGAAUUUACUAUAUUUUGUUUGUAAUUUGGAAAAGCAGACAUGACGAAUGACGCGUAAUUUUUCAAUCAUAAAGAUAGAUAAAGGACAAUACAGGGUAAAUUAAUACCUUACACGUAACUCAAUUUGUCUUGAAAACUGAAUAAUGCCAGUACUCCUUUGUGUCAGCAGCACUGUGUCUAUUUUUGUGUGAUUUUUCUCCUCCUUGUCUGAGUCCCUGGGCAUUUUCUUUUCCAUCCAGGCAUGAAGACAGGAGCCUGUCGAAACCUCAGCUGGAGUCCAUCGAAGGCUGUGUGGCCCGGUCCUGCCCCCAGCAUGGCAGGUCUGCAACAGAGAAACCAUGGAGGAAUAUCCUUUUUCCUUAGGGAAGACGAUCAAGCUCCUUUGGAGCUGACAAGUUACCCAGAGGUGAAAGACAGGAGGAAGAAGAGAGUCAGGAGUAAGUUAUCAAAUCUAAUGUGUUUCUGUUGUGUAUUAAAAUUCUCUCUUGCUCCAUUAAGGAGAGUGAAUGGAUUAGAAGUGCUUUUUCACCAGGUGGAGGUAGAUUGAGGAAAGCCAAAGAACAGACAGCAAAGACAACAGAUUUUUUUCAUAGGGGCCUGUGAGGUUAAGACAGGAAAAGUGGGAGGAAGUGGAGUUGAUCUGACAGCAAAAUUGUUUGGUUUGAGGGACAGACAGAGACAGAGAAGAGUUUACAAAGAGUGCAGAGUGAAAUGAGACAAUCAUUAGUUAGCAUUACAAGUCUAAAGGCAAGACAGACACUUAGGCAAGCUGAGGAGAAGCAGUGUGAGACAGGGUGGUCUAUUACGGGUAUACAACACCAAAAGACAACCCAUCACCUCGAGAAGUCAGGGUGGGGAGCUCAGAGACUGGUCUAAGGAGCAAACAUGCACCAUAGAGGCAAGCCAAUGAUAACAGCCUUCAUAGAUGAGUCAGUCUCACCAAUUCUUGCAACAGACGUCAAAGCUUGGAAAACAUGAAAUGGAUGAGCUUUUGUUGGAAGCUGAUUUGGAAGCAUUCAUGAACAAACACAUAGAUGAUGUUCAUGUGUUUAACAGAUAUGACACACUCUGUAGUCAGUGUAGUGACCCGAUAGCAAUAAUCGUGCCACUCAAAGACGGGAAAAAUCCAUAAGCUCACGUAUUCAAAGCCAGGAAAGACCGUAUCAGACAGACUGAGGUUUAGGUGCAAGACAAGGGUUAGGGAUAGACUAACAGCAUCAACUAUAUAUACUAUGGACAACUAGGCUCCACCUUCUGUUAUUAUACAAAGUUGAAGCUGAAUUGUUCUCGGUAUUUCCAGGAUUUUCUCCACUUCCUGGAACCACCACUUGCACAGUAGCAUUGUAUGUGUUGGAUGGAUGAAUCACCAAGAGUCGCUGUAACGAUGCUCUGCUCAAACAGUGUAUCCGCGGGUGAGCUACACGAUCUUCAUAUACCCAUAGGCUGUAUAAGAAUAAGAAUGAGAAUAACUGUAUUGAUCCCCGAAGGGAAAUCCAAUUGUCUCUCAUUUGUCAUGUCUCUAAAAGUUAUCCACUAUUCACAGAAUAGUUGUAAAGUCUAAUGGCUGUAUCAAGUGUCAAUUACAGAAAACAUGAACCCCCUAAUAACGUUUUAUAAUGGAGCUGCACAGAAAAAAAAAAAAAAACUUGAGCACAAACCAGUCUUACAAUAACGGAAAUAUCAACAUCACAAGCAGGGGGAGAAAAUUUAUAUUUUGUGUAAUUAAUUUCUGAAGUUUGUCCACAGCUUUAUGGUGAUUGCUGGAGGAGGCGGGAUUUAUGACCUAUACUGCAGCACGUCACCAGAAGGUGCUGUUCUUGCAGUGGCUUCACCCAGUGAGGAGGCAGAUGCUUUCCAUUCUAUAUACAGUCCAUGGUAAACAGUCUGCAACAGCCCGAAUGAUCAUCAUCAAGAGAAAGGUGCACGACUUCAAAAACACAAGCAAAUGUCCAGAACAAACACAAUGAUGGAAACACGCAACAGAUGAAAAAAACGUGCUGCGAAAAGCCAAUACAUCUGCAUUCAGAAGUACUGCAAUUACACAAAUGACACAAAGCAAAAACGACAAAAAAAGUCUCAUUUUUAUUGAUGGGCAGUGGCAUCUGGUUUGUAGUUUAAUUUUAGUUUUGAAAAAUAUACUUAGCCUCUUUCUGUUUAGGCUCCCAACAACACUUAAAGAUGGCAUUUAUAUAAACUUUCCACUCUGUGCAGGUGACAUGUAUUUGCCUCCAAUUUAACCUUUAUUUAUUUAUUUAUUUAUUUGCCUCCAGCUUAUACUUUGUGAUGUCUGCCCCAAAAGGGACUAUUAAUUUCUGCUGCUUCCACAGAAUUAAUAAGCAAAAGGCCACUGAGAUGAGUGGCAGGGGACUAUUCAAAGUAACUAAUUACUAUUAUAAUAGAUCAACUCAAUUAGAGAUUCAGUUAUGAGUAAAUGCUGCUAUUUCAACAUUUUGGUAAUGUGCCCAUAACUCUUAGACACGUUAGCUGCCUGGAUCUUUUGAUCAGUCUUAGCAUGUAUCCCUCAAAGAAAAACACUUCCUCUUAAAAUACUGUAUGUCUGACAUACCAUUUGACAUAGAUUUAUGCUAGAAAUUUUAGAAGUGUUUUAUUUUUUUGUGACUCAAAUUUGUGAAUUUGACCGUAAAUUUGAGCUUGGAUUUGAUGUUAAAAGGUUAAACAUAUUUAACCUUAGCUUGUCCUUUCUGGUCAUGUUUAAAGUUUAUUUAUCCUUUGCUAUGUGCACCUGCAUUGCUUUCGUCCUCUAAUUGUGUCCUUAAAUAAACCCCAGAGAGCUUGAAAUUAUUGUAAAUUAUGCAAAAAUGAUGAAUGUAUCACCUUGCACGGUUAUAAAUAUUAAAGCCAAUAACUUAUAAAGGCGAUAAUUGCAUCCCUCUUUUAGCUCAGCCGCAGAAAGAUGGUUACAAGUACACUAAAGGUCAGGCUCUUAUAGAGGAAACAGAUGCAUAAUGAAAUCACAACAUAUUUCACUGUGAGCCAAUUGAGCCUACAGGAGGAAGUCAGGAGGUGUGUGUGUGUGUGUGUGUGUGUGUGUGUGUGUGUGUGUGUGUGUGUGUGUGUGUGUGUGUGUGUGUGUGUUUGGCUUUCCAUGUUUUUUUUGUGGGAAAAGCAAUAAAGCUGCUUAUCUCCUAGCAGCACAGAAAGAUAGUACAGUGAAGUGAACAUAAAACAUACAGUAAAGCUCCUCAUCUAUGAAGAAAAUCAAGUAAAAGUAAACUGGGCGUGAAUCCACAACACUAAUCUGUCAUGUGAAACACUCUGGGUUUCUUACAGUGCAAUGUCACAUGAAGUUAUCCUCAUUCCCCAACCCCCUUGCUCCAACAUCCGCCCUCUUGCCUCUAGCUGCCAGUCACCCGUGGGCCCCCGACCUCCAACCUCCAACCCAAGCCAGCUACACAUCCCACCCUGCCGCUCCAUAUCACGACUUAUCCAUUCACGCAGCAUUACGUAUUAUGCAAGAAGUAUGUAUUUAUGUAUAUGAGGGUCUUCUGGAAGAAGAGCGUGGAGGGAAUUUCUGACAAACUCUGAAGUUGCUGUCCCUUAAGCUCCAGUGUCACGCCACCAACCUGCUGGGUUAUAUAUCAUACAGCCAAAGCAGAGAGUACAAUACAAAACAUCAUUAAUAUGAAAAUCAUUAAUAUGGAUCUAGGAGCAGAGAGAGCACAUCCUGAAAUAAUGAGAAAGCCAUGAUUACUAAUGCUGUAGCUCUACAUUUAUUAUUAAUCACUAAAAAAUAAGUAGGGGAAACACUGUUCGUGAAAACAGAGGGACAUGUCUGUAAAAAGAAGGAUUCAUUUACAUUUCUAGAGCUUUAACGGUAAAUCUUUACUGAUCCAUACCACAAAGCAUCUUCAGCUCAGGAUUCAUUUUUGAUUAAAGUUCUGCUUAAUUUUGCCUCUCUAAGAAAAUAACGUUUUCAUUUGACCUGCUGUGAAAUCUUUGGAGAUCCGAGGAUAAGUCAACCACCUGAAAGCACGCCUGGAUUUUCAAAAAAAAUGUUCAAAAUUUCUCCUGUGAGAUUGAAGGUGAGAGAGGCAGGGAGAGAAACAGUGAAGUGGGGUGCAAAGGGGAGCGACCCAAAAAGCACUCGUACCCUCCCUCCUUGCAGCGUACAGCAUAGCAGUUAAUUUAAAUUCUGCAAGGAGACAACCCAUAAAUCACCUCCAUUCUGACUAAUGGCUUCUGCAACUGAGGGAAAACUCUUGCCUCUCUACCUGGAGACAUCCUGCACUGCAAAAAAAAUAUAGGCUAGGUUUGUGAGUAUGGGGUGUGUGUUGUACUCUAUAUACCGUGUAUAGGAGUGUUUCACUCAGACAGACAGUUUUUGAAGGAGUCAGCAGCCUGACUUACCUCCCCACAUGUGCUGCUUUCACUGGAGGCAGAAAUCCCCCUGUGUUGCUCCAUAAUUAGCCCCCAUAACUGCAACACACUGACGUCAGAAGUGUGUGACACUAAACUAACCUUGGACUGGAUUCCAAAAAAAACAUCACCCUGGGUUACUGCAAAACUCAGCUCACCCAGAUUUGUGACUCAUGUGAGUAAUAAACCUGUCUGUAAAUAUAUUUCCUCAUAUCGUGAAAGUGACACCUAAGAGUUUGUAUGAAGUUUGUUUCUGGUUAUUACACUGCAGAUAUUUUAAAGUAAUAUUUUAUCAUUUUUUCUGCAGGGGGAAGCCAAGUUAAAGAAUUAUUGAGGACUAUCACUGUAUAAGGAUUCCCCCUCUCUCCUGGAUUUGCAUUCGACUGUGACGCAACAUCACAGGUGCAGCUCACAGACUACAACCUGCUGGAAACAAGAACAUUUUGAGUCUCAUUUUGUUGAAGUCUCAGUCCAGUUUUUUUCAUUCUGGCACACCAGCAAUGUAAUAGUGUUCUGAAUUUGAUAUUAUCUGCCUUUGUUUGCAGGGAAUUGGUCUGCGAGACACCACUGAAUCAAAUGGAUACUGAAGUAAAACUAAAAUGGAGUAAGUUUUGAAGCUUUGGGGGGC
rnacentral:lncRNA from 1 species